rnacentral:rRNA from 1 species
AUUGAACGGGGUAGCAUACCUAGUGGCAGACGGGUGAGUAACAUGUGGGUAUCUUCCCUUUGGUGAGGAAUAACACGAGGAAACUUGUGCUAAUACCUCAUAAGUCUUUACGGAGAAAGCUUUAUGCGCCAAUGGAUGAGCCUGCACUUGAUUAGUUAGUUGGCAGGGUAAUGGCCUACCAAGACUUUGAUCAAUAGCUGAUUUGAGAGGAUGAUCAGCCACAUUGGGACUGAGACACGGCCCAAACUCCUACGGGAGGCAGCAGUAGGGAAUCUUGCACAAUGGAGGAAACUCUGAUGCAGCGAUGCCGCGUGAGUGAAGAAGGCCUUUGGGUUGUAAAGCUCUUUCGUCGGGGAAGAAAAUGACUGUACCCGAAUAAGAAGGUCCGGCUAACUUCGUGCCAGCAGCCGCGGUAAUACGAAGGGACCUAGCGUAGUUCGGAAUUACUGGGCUUAAAGAGUUCGUAGGUGGUUAAAAAAGUUGGUGGUGAAAUCCCAGAGCUUAACUCUGGAACUGCCAUCAAAACUUUUUAGCUAGAGUAUGAUAGAGGAAAGCAGAAUUUCUAGUGUAGAGGUGAAAUUCGUAGAUAUUAGAAAGAAUACCGAUUGCGAAGGCAGCU